AUGAUGGUGACGGUAGAGGGGUAUAUUGAAAAAGACCAAAAAUCAAAAUAAUUUUUGUGCCCCUGACUUUAAGGGCAAAUAAGAAAGUCAGUGAUGGUGGAAGGGUAUAUUUGAAAGGGCAAAAUAAUAAUUUUAUAGAGAUAACAGAGUUAAUUAAUAGAUUUUAACUCUAGGGGUAUGUUAGAAAUAGGUUGGAACGUAGAAAGGGUAUUUUCAAUGUUAGCCUUCUAAGAGGGGUAAAUCGGAAAGCCGGGAACUUUUCAGGGGUAUAUAAGCAAUUGCCCUAACCCGGAUACUACGACAUCAACGCAAACGCACAAAGCCCGACUCCGGAGUAGCCCUUGUUGGCGCUAUCCAAUCGAGUAUGCAAGCGAGUCUCUGUCGAGCUCAAUCAGGCUCUCACAGGCUAUAAUUAAAGCAAAUGAGUCUAACUGGUCAUACAACCAAAACUCACGUGCCCUUGGCACAAUCUGAUGCAAAAACAGUAAUCUGAGUCCACCGCCAACCGCGACGGCACCCGACAGUCCGAAACAGUCUACACACUACUGUAAAAUAAGCUCGGCAUGCCAGCACGAACGUAAACUCAUCCUACACUAAUCUGGGUAUCCAUCGCAUACUAACAUCGACGAUACAAAAGAACCACAGCUCAUAAAGCUAAAUCUGGUAAUUUUCAGAAAAUGACAGUGUAGGAUCUAUAUGUUUUCUCCUAAGUCAAUUCCAAAUGCAACAUGUAAAAUUAUACUAUUAGCUUAAUUCCAAAUUCAGAUUUUACCUCUAAUCUAU
rnacentral:lncRNA from 1 species